CGGGAUUGCCUCAGUAACGGCGAGUGAAGCGGCAAGAGCUCAAAUUUGAAAUCUGGCCCCUCCGGGGUCCGAGUUGUAAUUUGUAGAGGAUGCUUCGGGUGCGGCCCCCGUCUAAGUGCUCUGGAACGGGCCAUCGGAGAGGGUGAGAAUCCCGUCUGGGACGGGGUGUCCGCGUCCAUGUGAAGCUCCUUCGACGAGUCGAGUUGUUUGGGAAUGCAGCUCUAAAUGGGUGGUAAAUUUCAUCUAAAGCUAAAUACUGGCCGGAGACCGAUAGCGCACAAGUAGAGUGAUCGAAAGAUGAAAAGCACUUUGAAAAGAGAGUUAAACAGCACGUGAAAUUGUUGAAAGGGAAGCGCUUGCGACCAGACUCGCUUCCGGGGUUCAGCCGGCUUUCGGGCCGGUGUACUUCCCCGGGGGCGGGCCAGCGUCGGUUUGGGCGGCCGGUCAAAGGCCCCUGGAAUGUAACGCCUCUCGGGGCGCCUUAUAGCCAGGGGUGUCAUGCGGCCAGCCUGGACCGAGGAACGCGCUUCGGCACGGACGCUGGCAUAAUGGUCGUAAACGACCCGUCUUGAUACACGGACCAAGGAGUCUAACAUUCUACGCGAGUGUUUCGGGUGUCAAACCCGUGCUCGCAGUGAAAGCGAAACGGAGGUGGGAGCCCCCUCGCGGGGUCGCACCAUCGACCGAUCCUGAUGUUCUUCGGAUGGAUUUGAGUAAGAGUCGUAGCUGUGGGGACCCGAAAGAUGGUUGAACUAUGCCUGAAUAGGGCGAAGCCAGAGGAAACUCUGGUGGAGGUCUCGCAGCGGUUCUGACGUUGCAAAUCGAUCGUCAAAUUGGGUAUA
rnacentral:rRNA from 1 species